AUGCCAGUCACCUGGGGAUUUCAUUAAAAUGAAGAUUCUGACUCAAGUUUCUAAGAGACAGGACCAGAGAUUGUGCAUUUCUAACAAGUUCCCUGGGCUCAUUC
rnacentral:miRNA from 1 species